rnacentral:rRNA from 1 species
AAUAUUGCGCAAUGGGGGAAACCCUGACGCAGCGACGCCGCGUGAAGGAAGAAGGUUUUCGGAUUGUAAACCUCUGUCUUCGGGGAAGAUAAUGACGGUACCCGAGGAGGAAGCCCCGGCUAACUACGUGCCAGCAGCCGCGGUAAUACGUAGGGGGCAAGCGUUAUCCGGAUUUAUUGGGUGUAAAGGGUGCGUAGGCGGGUGAUCAAGUUGAAUGUGAAAUCCACCGGCUCAACUGGUGGGCUGCGUUCAAAACUGAUUAUCUUGAGUAUGGUAGAGGCAAGUGGAAUUCCCAGUGUAGCGGUAAAAUGCGUAGAGAUUGGGAGGAACACCAGUGGCGAAGGCGGCUUUCUGGACGAUAACUGACGCUGAGGCGCGAAAGCGUGGGUAGCAAACAGG